rnacentral:rRNA from 1 species
UACAGAGGUCCCAAGCGUUGUUCGGAUUCACUGGGCGUAAAGGGCGCGUAGGCGGCCUUCUAAGUCAGACGUGAAAUCCCCCGGCUUAACCUGGGAACUGCGUCUGAUACUGGGAGGCUAGAGUAUGGGAGAGGGAUGUAGAAUUCCAGGUGUAGCGGUGAAAUGCGUAGAUAUCUGGAGGAAUACCGGUGGCGAAGGCGGCAUCCUGGACCAUUACUGACGCUGAGGCGCGAAAGCUAGGGGAGCAAACGGG